rnacentral:rRNA from 1 species
CCUACGGGAGGCAGCAGUGGGGAAUAUUGGGCAAUGGAGGCAACUCUGACCCAGCAACGCCGCGUGAAUGAUGAAGGUCUUCCGAUUGUAAAGUUCUUUUCUACGGGAAGAAGCAAGUGACGGUACCUUAGGAAUAAGCCGCGGCUAACUACGUGCCAGCGGCCGCGGUAAUACGGAGGAGGCAAGCGUUAUUCGGAAUGACUGGGCGUAACGGGUGUGUAGGGGGUAUGACAAGUGAGUGGAGCAACUCGGGAGCUCAACUUCGGAACCACUACUAAAACUGUUGGACUUGAGUGCAGGAGGGGCAAGCGGAAUUCGUAGUGUAGCGGUGGAAUGCGUAGAUAUUAGGAGGAACACCAGUGGCGAAGGCGGCUUGCUAGACUGUAACUGACACUGAGGCACGAAAGCGUGGGGAGCAAACAGGAUUAGAUACCCUAGUAGUC